rnacentral:other from 1 species
GUACCCCUGCUCUGUUGGUGAUCAGCGAAGUAUUGAGCCAACUCGUAUGAUAAGGGUAGCCUUAAUCCUGCAUGAUGGAAAUCUUUAUUGACUCCCAGACGGUAGGAGGGGCACUGCCCACCUAAUCUAAUUAGGUUUAAUCAUUUCGUUGACACGGCAGCGCGGGGGGCUU